rnacentral:rRNA from 1 species
UACAGAGGUCUCAAGCGUUGUUCGGAUUCAUUGGGCGUAAAGGGUGCGUAGGCGGCGCGGUAAGUCGGGUGUGAAAUUUCGGAGCUUAACUCCGAAACUGCAUUCGAUACUGCCGUGCUUGAGGACUGGAGAGGAGACUGGAAUUUACGGUGUAGCGGUGAAAUGCGUAGAUAUCGUAAGGAACACCGGUGGCGAAGGCGGGUCUCUGGGCAGUAACUGACGCUGAGGAGCGAAAGCGUGGGGAGCGAACAGG